rnacentral:rRNA from 1 species
GAAGGUAGCGUAAUCACUUGUUCUUUAAAUGAGGACUAGUAUGAAUGGCACCACGAGGGUUAAACUGUCUCCUUUUUUUGAUCAGUGAAACUAAUCUCCCCGUGAAAAAGCGGGAAUUUACUUAUAAGACGAGAAGACCCUAUGGAGCUUUAAACAAAUUAACAUCCGCUAUUACUUUAUUAUCUUAAGAGUCACAACAAAAAAAUAUAGCAAUCUGAUUAAAAGUUUUCGAUUGGGGUGAUCACGGAGUAAAAAAUAACCUCCACGUCGAACGGAUUAAAAUCCUGAACAAAAAGCUACAGCUUUAUGCACUAAUACAUUAACGCCUUUGACCCAUUUUUUGAUCAACGAACCAAGUUACCCUAGGGAUAACAGCGCAAUCUGCUUUGAGAGCCCCUAUCGACAAGCGGGUUUACGACCUCGAUGUUGGAUCAGGGUAUCC